rnacentral:rRNA from 1 species
AUUGAACGCUGGCGGCAGGCCUAACACAUGCAAGUCGAGCGAGCGGCGGACGGGUGAGUACUGUCUGGGAAACUGCCUGAUGGAGGGGGAUAACUACUGGAAACGGUAUCUAAUACCGCAUACCAUCAGAUGUGCCCAGGGGGGAUUAGCUAGUAGGUGGGGUAACGGCUCACCUAGGCGACGAUCCCUAGCUGGUCUGAGAGGAUGACCAGCCACACUGGAACUGAGACACGGUCCAGACUCCUACGGGAGGCAGCAGUGGGGAAUAUUGCACAAUGGGCGCAAGCCUGAUGCAGCCAUGCCGCGUGUGUGAAGAAGGCCUUCGGGUUGUAAAGCACUGUCAGCGGGGAGGCGUUACCCGAAGAAGAAGCAACGGCUAACUCCGUGCCAGCAGCCGCGGUAAUUC